CCUACGGGAGGCAGCAGUGAGGAAUAUUGGUCAAUGGACGCGAGUCUGAACCAGCCAAGUAGCGUGAAGGAUGACGGCCCUAUGGGUUGUAAACUUCUUUUAUAAAGGAAUAAAACGGGGCUCGUGUGCCUAGUAGUCUGUGCUUUAUUAAUAACCAGCGGCCAACUUUGUGCGAGCAGCCGCGGUAAUAUGGAGGUUCCGAGCGUGUUCCGGAUUUAUUGGGUGUAAGGGGAGCGUAGAUGGGUGUUUAAGUCAGUUGUGAAAGUGUGCGGCUCAACCGUGGAAUUGCAAUUGAUACUGGCAGUCUUGAGUACAGUCGAGGUAGACGGAAUUCAUGGUGUAGCGGUGAAAUGCUUAGAUAUCACGAAGAACCCCGAUUGCGAAGGCAGCUUUCUAGACUGUAACUGACAUUGAGGCUCGAAAGUGUGGGUAUCAAACAGGAUUAGAUACCCUGGUAGUC
rnacentral:rRNA from 1 species